rnacentral:rRNA from 1 species
GAUGAACGCUAGCGGCAGGCUUAAUACAUGCAAGUUGAGGGGCAGCAUGAUAUACGCGAGUAUAUUGAUGGCGACCGGCGGACGGGUGAGUAAUAGGUAGGAGACCUACCUCAUACAGGGGGAUAGCAUAGAGAAAUCUGUGGUAAUACCCCAUGAGGUUAUAUGAAUAGAGGCAUAUAAUCAAAGCAUAAGCGAUUAUGCGGUAUGAGAGGGGCCUACUGACCAUUAGCUAGUUGGUGAGGUAAGGGCUCACCAAGGCGAAGAUGGUUAGGGGUUUUGAGAGAGAGACCCCCCACAUUGGAACUGAGAGACGGUCCAGACUCCUACGGGAGGCAGCAGUAGGGAAUAUUGGGCAAUGGGCGAAAGCCUGACCCAGCCAUGCCGCGUGAAGGAAGACGGCCUUAUGGGUUGUAAACUUCUUUACUACGCGAAUAGAGGUUAGUACGAGAUACUAAUAGGAAGGUAGUGUAGUAAAAAGGCACCGGCUAACUCCGUGCC